UACGUAGGUGGCAAGCGUUGUCCGGAUUUACUGGGCGUAAAGGGCGUGCAGGCGGUUUGUUAAGUGCAGGGUGAAAGCUCCCGGCUCAACUGGGAGAGGUCCUUGCAUACUGGCAGACUUGAGGGAGGCAGAGGAAAGUGGAAUUCCCGGUGUAGUGGUGAUAUGCGUAGAUAUCGGGAGGAACACCGGUGGCGAAGGCGGCGAUCUGGGUAGAUACUGACGCUGAGGUGCGAAAGCGUGGGGAGCAAACAGG
rnacentral:rRNA from 1 species